AUGGACAUGAGCUUGAGCAUGGUGGCCCGGGAGACCAGCCCCAGCCUUGGGCCCAGCCUCAGUCCUGGCUUUGGUCCCGGCUUUGGUCUCGAUGGGCUCCCCCGGCCCAUCCCCCCCAAGCCAGCCAAGAAUCCCAAAAAGGCCGUUCUCUUCUUUGAGGUGGAGAUUCUGGACGCAAAGACGAGGGAGAAGCAGUCUUGGCCCCCAGUCUAUCCUCUCCCUCCCACACCCCCAUCCGGGUCGGUCCGGACUCCCUCGGGGCGGACGUCCCUCUGGCCUGUGCUCCCCCAGGUGGAGCCCCAGGCCACCAUCGCGGAGAUCAAGAACCUCUUCACCAAGUCCCAUCCGCAGUGGUACCCAGCCCGCCAGUCCCUCCGCCUGGACCCCAAGGGCAAGUCCCUGAAGGACGAGGAUGUUCUGCAGAAGCUGCCCGUGGGCACCACGGCCACAUUCUACUUCCGGGAUCUGGGGGCCCAGAUCAGCUGGGUGACGGUCUUCCUGACAGAGUACGCGGGGCCCCUUUUCAUCUACCUGCUCUUCUACUUCCGGGUGCCCUUCAUCUACGGCCACAGAUACGACUUCACGUCCAGUCGGCAGACGGUGGUGCCCCUCGCCUGCAUCUGCCACUCAUUCCACUACGUCAAGCGCCUGCUGGAGACGCUCUUCGUGCACCGCUUCUCGCACGGCACCAUGCCUCUGCGCAACAUCUUCAAGAACUGCACCUACUACUGGGGCUUCGCCGCGUGGAUGGCCUAUUACAUCAACCACCCGCUCUACACGCCCCCCUGUAACCUACGGAGCCCAGCAGGUUAAACUGGCACUGGCUAUCUUUGUGAUCUGCCAGCUGGGCAACUUCUCCAUCCACACGGCCCUGCGGGACCUGCGGCCCCUUAGGGUCCAAGACCCGGAAGAUCCCGUGCCCCACCAAGAACCCCUUCACGUGGCUCUUCCUGCUGGUGUCCUGCCCCAACUACACCUAUGAGGUGGGGUCCUGGAUCGGCUUUGCCAUCAUGACACAGUGUCUCCCAGUGGCCCUUUUCUCCCUGGUGGGCUUCACCCAGAUGACCAUCUGGGCCAAGGGCAAGCACCGCAGCUACCUGAAGGAGUUCCGUGACUACCCACCCCUGCGCAUGCCCAUCAUCCCCUUCCUGCUCUGAGCCGCUCAGCCAAGCCCAGCUGUCGUCCCCAACCCCAGUGUCAUUCUGGAGGAGGAGAGGGGGCCACAGCUCUCCAGUACCUGGAAUAAAAGCUGCCUGUCCCUGUCGGACUCCA